GACGAACGCUGGCGGCGUGCUUAACACAUGCAAGUCGAACGGAAAGGCCCUGCUUUGGUGGGGUGCUCGAGUGGCGAACGGGUGAGUAACACGUGAGUAACCUGCCCUUGACUUUGGGAUAACCCUAGGAAACUGGGGCUAAUACCGGAUAGGAGCUCCUGCUGCAUGGUGGGGGGUGGAAAGUUUCGGCGGUUGGGGAUGGACUCGCCUCUUAUCAGUUUGUUGGUGGGGUAGGCGCCUACCGAGGCUUGGACGGGUCGCCGGCCUGAGAGGGUGGCCGGACACAGUGAGUGUGAGAUGCGGCACAGACUCCUACGGGGGGGAAGAGUGGGAUAUAGUACACUAUGGGCGGGAGCCAGAUGGAGAAGCGCCGCGUGCGAGAUGACGGCCUUCGGUGUGUAAUCCGCUUGCGCCUGUGACGGCGCGUUAGUGACGGUAAUGGGUAAAGAAGCACCGGCUAACUACGUG
rnacentral:rRNA from 1 species